rnacentral:lncRNA from 1 species
CUCUCACUAGUCUUUAUUUAUCAACCUAGAUCCAACACAUAACCACUUAAUUCGGUGUUGGGCCGCUUUGCCAAUACUGGUCUAGGCCCAUUCAUAACAUGCUUCUCUCUAUGUCAGAUCUGGAAAUUCCUCUUCUCAGGUACUCUCCCACUGGAUCCUCAAUUGAUUAUCUAUUCAUUCAUUUCUGCAGCUAUGCCAAUUUAUCUUUGUUAUGAAAAACGAAAACAGAUCUAUAUUAGUUGUUUGCGUUGUAUUACAUAAUUUUUUUUUUACGUAAAUCCCUAAGUAGUGAUGAAAUAUUCAGUGAAUAUGAAAGUGAUGAUAGAGUUAUUGACGAAAAUGAUGAAUAAUCGGUUCAUAGAAACAAAGUCAUAUGUGUUGUCUAUUUUACGAUGUAUGAAAUGAUGCUUGUUGCACUCACUUCAAACUAGCAUAUUGCUUCAGUGUCAUGGACACUAC